rnacentral:rRNA from 1 species
CCCUUAGAUGUUCUGGGCCGCACGCGCGCUACACUGAUGCAUUCAACGAGUCCAACCUUGACCGAGAGGUCCGGGUAAUCUUUGAAACUGCAUCGUGAUGGGGCUAGAUUAUUGCAAUUAUUAAUCUUCAACGAGGAAUGCCUAGUAAGCGUGAUUCAUCAAAUCGCGUUGAUUACGUCCCUGCCCUUUGUACACACCGCCCGUCGCUCCUACCGAUUGAGUGUGUUGGUGAGGAGUUUGGAUUGGCCUCGGAAGGUGGUUCGCCACCGUCCGUAGCUGAGAAGUUCUCCAAACCGGCCCACUUAGAGGAAGGAGAAGUCGUAACA